rnacentral:rRNA from 1 species
GGGCCCGCACAAGCGGUGGAGUAUGUGGUUUAAUUCGAUGCAACGCGAAGAACCUUACCAGGGUUUGACAUCCUGCGAAUCUCUUGGAAACAGGAGAGUGCCUUCGGGAACGCAGUGACAGGUGGUGCAUGGCUGUCGUCAGCUCGUGUCGUGAGAUGUUGGGUUAAGUCCCGCAACGAGCGCAACCCACGUCUUUAGUUGCCAGCAUUUAGUUGGGCACUCUAGAGAGACUGCCGGUGAUAAACCGGAGGAAGGUGGGGAUGACGUCAAGUCCUCAUGGCCCUUAUGCCUAGGGCUACACACGUAAUACAAUGGUGCAUACAAAGGGAAGCGACCUGGUGACAGCAAGCAAAUCUCAAAAAGUGCAUCUCAGUCCGGAUUGGAGUCUGCAACUCGACUCCAUGAAGUUGGAAUCGCUAGUAAUCGC